UACGGAGGAUGCGAGCGUUAUCCGGAUUUAUUGGGUUUAAAGGGUACGUAGGCGGGAUGCCAAGUCAGCGGUAAAAAUGCGGUGCUCAACGCCGUCGAGCCGUUGAAACUGGCGUUCUUGAGUGGGCGAGAAGUAUGCGGAAUGCGUGGUGUAGCGGUGAAAUGCAUAGAUAUCACGCAGAACUCCGAUUGCGAAGGCAGCAUACCGGCGCCCUACUGACGCUGAGGCACGAAAGCGUGGGUAUCGAACAGG
rnacentral:rRNA from 1 species